rnacentral:rRNA from 1 species
AGUGAACGCUGGCGGUAGGCCUAACACAUGCAAGUCGAACGGCAGCACAGUAAGAGCUUGCUCUUACGGGUGGCGAGUGGCGGACGGGUGAGGAAUACAUCGGAAUCUACUUUUUCGUGGGGGAUAACGUAGGGAAACUUACGCUAAUACCGCAUACGACCUACGGGUGAAAGCAGGGGAUCUUCGCACCUUGCGCGAUAGAAUGAGCCGAUGUCGGAUUAGCUAGUUGGCGGGGUAAAGGCCCACAAAGGCGACGAUCCGUAGCUGGUCUGAGAGGAUGAUCGGCCACACUGGAACUGAGAGCCGGUCCAGACUCCUACGGGAGGCAGCAGUGGGGAAUAUUGGACAAUGGGCGCAAGCCUGAUCCAGCCAUACCGCGUGGGUGAAGAAGGCCUUCGGGUUGUAAAGCCCUUUUGUUGGGAAAGAAAAGCAGCAGGUUAAUACCCCGCUGUUCUGACGGUACCCAAAGAAUAAGCACCGGCUAACUUCGUG